GAAUUUAUUCUUAUUUGCAGUAAAACUCACUAAUCAUUUAUUCAAAUCAAGUAAGUUAUUCUAAACAAUUGUAGUUUUUAUUUUUGAAAAAGGAAGGUGCCUAAUAUGAUUUCAGCAUAUCAGCACACAGGUGGGUUAACUACUGAGGGAAAGAAAAAUCAUCACAUGGUUACUUCUUAUAUGUGUCUUACUGUGCGUUAAUCUUACACAGCUAUCCCUUCACUGCAGACAAGCUGAAAUGGGCUGAAUCCUUGAUUGCAGUCUUUAUGUUCCUGAAUCAUUUGGAGAGAAUUAAAGUGAUUGUUGGAACAGCGAUCUUCUCUGAAGAACUGAGCACAUUUGUGUUUAUGGACAUGCAUGCAUCCAGGGAAAAUCCUGAUGUCGUCAGUCAAGG